AACAACGGUUUGGGUGUCGGUGCCAUUGUAGGUAUUGUUCUCGGGAUCCUCUGCUUCCUGUCACUGAUGGCUGUACUAGUCUACUACUUGAAAAGGAGAUGGAUGCCUAGAUCACAAAUCCAGCCAGACAUGUCACCCGAAGCAGCUGGCGAAGAACGCACUCAAUAGAAGUCCGUGCAAAUAACGACAACAUAAGAAUCAGUCGGGGAAACGUCAACCCAUCAUGGCGGAGAACUGGACACGGCUGGCUUAUAGCUCUACCAAACUGAGAUAGGGUUAUACAAAUUGUUGAAUGGCAUAAACAUGUCUAUCAGUGAUAACCGUUGAGUGUAGGCUCUUUUACAUAACCAUAGUGAAAUACACAUUUCAAUUUCUAACCCUAAACCGACUACAUGGGGUACGUCAUCUAUAUGUACCAUAUCAACAUGUUUCUUAGAGAAAAGAAAUAUUCUACGAAUUUAUAUAUAACAGAUAGCGCAUUUGUGAUUAAGCUUUCAAACUACAAGCGGAAUUGGACUUGCACGACCCCAUACCUUCGCCAAAUGAUUUCAACCUUUCCAACUGAUGCAUUUUACUUGUGUUUGUCAUAUAUUUUAUAUCGAGUUGAGAAUCUGGAAAGGGAGGCAUCCAUUUCACAUGGGGUUAAGGAUCUGGAAAGGGGCCAUCCAUUUCACAUGGGGUUAAAGAUUCUUGAAAGAAAUCCUAUGGUAGUGGAAAACAACCAUUCACAUGUGGUUAGACUCCAGAGCUAGAGGGGGGGGGGGGGCAACCAUUCCACAUGACGUUGAUGGUUCUGUGAGGUAAGGCCUGGUUGAGGGUGUGAGAAGAGAGAACCAAGCCAUUUUAAUUCUACUGUAAAAAAAAACACGUACACUACACAAUCAUCCGAUUUCAGCAUAUUUGUUUAAUAGCAAAAUAGAGAAAUACAAAGUGUAUAAUACAUGAACUGCAUAAUAAAUGAAGAUACUCUAGCAUAAAAAAAAUGAACAUCUAACUCAUUUAGGUUUACAACUACCCUCACUCUAGGACAUAGUGGAUAAAAAAGCUAAAAUCAGUAAAUAUUGACAUUGUCAGUACAUGGUAUAGAGGUAGCGUGGAGCCUUUGUACUUAAAGAAUCAUAGAAUUGUUUCAGUCUAAGGCUAAGGCAGCUGAUUAUUAGUGUCCGUCAAAACUGUUGUGUUUGGUGGCGUUAGUCUGUUAGUGUGUAUGUGUGCAUGUGUCUUCUUGUGUUAGUGUCAGCGCCAGCCUUAGCCUCAGUUACUUGGGAAAUUUCCAAACAACUGAUUUAAAGGGCUACAACCUCUACACAAUAAACGGACAAUGCUGACAUUUACUGAAUUCCAACAUGUAGACCACUUUUCUGCG